UACGUAGGGUGCGAGCGUUAAUCGGAUUUACUGGGCGUAAAGCGUGCGCAGGCGGCCCGUUAAGACAGGUGUGAAAUCCCUGGGCUCAACCUAGGAAUUGCGCUUGUGACUGGCGGGCUCGAGUACGGUAGAGGGGGGUGGAAUUCCUGGUGUAGCAGUGAAAUGCGUAGAGAUCAGGAGGAACACCGAUGGCGAAGGCAGCCCCCUGGGCCUGUACUGACGCUCAUGCACGAAAGCGUGGGGAGCAAAAAGG
rnacentral:rRNA from 1 species